rnacentral:hammerhead_ribozyme from 1 species
AUCCAAAUGACGAGUCCCACAUGGGACGAUAUGUACAUCUUUAGAU